CUCAGCCUGUUGGGGGCAGAGGCUGUGGAGCAGAAGGCCCAGGAGAUCCUGCAGUUGGAGCAGCGGUUGGCCAAUAUCUCCAUGUCAGAGUAUGAUGAUCUCCGAAGAGACGUCAGUUCCAUGUACAACAAAGUGACUCUGGGGCAGCUGCAGAAGAUCACCCCUCACCUGCGGUGGAAGUGGUUGCUGGACCAGAUCUUCCAGGAGGACUUCUCUGAGGAUGAGGAGGUGGUACUGCUGGCCACAGACUACAUGCAGCAGGUGUCCCAGCUCAUCCGCUCCACACCCCGUAGG